rnacentral:rRNA from 1 species
UACCAUCACCCCGAGUGGUCGGGACGAUUAUUGGGCCUAAAGCCUCCGUAGCCGGUUCUACAAGUCUUCCGUUAAAUCCACCUGCUUAACAGAUGGGCUGCGGAGGAUACUAUAGAGCUAGGAGGCGGGAGAGGCAAGCGGUACUUAGUGGGUAGGGGUAAAAUCCGUUGAUCCAUUGAAGACCACCAGUGGCGAAGGCGGCUUGCCAGAACGCACUCGACGGUGAGGGAUGAAAGCUGGGGGAGCAAACCGG